rnacentral:snRNA from 1 species
GAACUUGCAAAAAAUGGCUUC